GAUGAACGCUAGCGGCAGGCCUAACACAUGCAAGUCGAGGGGUAACUAGAGUGAUAGCAAUAUUACUUUGGCUAGACCGGCGCACGGGUGCGUAACACGUAUGCAACCUACCUUAUACUGGGGAAUAACUUCGAGAAAUCGGCGCUAAUACCCCAUAACAUUGCGAAGAGGCAUCUCUUUGCAAUUAAAGCUCCGGCGGUAUAAGAUGGGCAUGCGUCCAAUUAGCUAGUUGGUGGGGUAACGGCUCACCAAGGCUACGAUUGGUAGGGGUUCUGAGAGGAUGAGCCCCCACACUGGUACUGAGAAACGGACCAGACUCCUACGGGAGGCAGCAGUGAGGAAUAUUGCGCAAUGGACGAAAGUCUGACGCAGCCAUGCCGCGUGCAGGAUGACGGCCCUAUGGGUUGUAAACUGCUUUUGUACGGGAAUAAACCCUUCUACGUGUAGGAGGCUGAAGGUACCGUAAGAAUAAGCACCGGCUAACUACGUGCCAGCCGCCGCCGUAAAAC
rnacentral:rRNA from 1 species